UUUAAGUGCAACCAUAAAUUUUUGUGCCUAAUUUUGAUCGUUCGUCUUAUUUAAUUUUUUUUAUAAUUAAUAUUUUUAUUGUUAUGAAAAACAUGAAUAGUGCUUUAUACAUGACUUAUGUAAAAUUAAAUAUGACUUAUGUAAAAUUAAAUAUGAUGAACGGUCAAAGUUGUGUAAAAAAAUU
rfam:Oryza nivara chromosome 4, whole genome shotgun sequence.